AUUGAACGCUGGCGGCAUGCUUUACACAUGCAAGUCGAACGGUAACAGGCCGCAAGGUGCUGACGAGUGGCGAACGGGUGAGUAAUGCAUCGGAACGUGCCCAGUCGUGGGGGAUAACGCAGCGAAAGCUGCGCUAAUACCGCAUACGAUCUAUGGAUGAAAGCGGGGGACCGUAAGGCCUCGCGCGAUUGGAGCGGCCGAUGUCAGAUUAGGUAGUUGGUGAGGUAAAGGCUCACCAAGCCAACGAUCUGUAGCUGGUCUGAAAGGACGACCAGCCACACUGGGACUGAGACACGGCCCAGACUCCUACGGGAGGCAGCAGUGGGGAGUUUUGGACAAUGGGCGCAAGCCUGAUCCAGCAAUGCCGCGUGCAGGAAGAAGGCCUUCGGGUUGUAAACUGCUUUUGUACGGAACGAAACGGCUCUCACUAAUACUGGGGGCUAAUGACGGUACCGUAAGAAUAAGCACCGGCUAACUACGUGCCAGCCGCCGCGGUAAAAC
rnacentral:rRNA from 1 species